rnacentral:lncRNA from 1 species
CGGUAACAGGAGCAUGUGCAGCUCUAGGCCUAAUUCAGAUUCAGGCCUCCUAACUUGUCUCUAUUCUUUGCCCAGCUAUUGUUGUCACUUGAGCUUUUGCUGCUUGGUUACUCAGAGACUGACAAUAUCGACCAAGAAAGGGGAAAAAAGAACAGCACUGCAUGAACCAGAACUAGCAAGACAAAAGGACAUUAUGUGUCUGAAUAAAUGGAUGUUGGCUGUGUCUACAUGGGUUUGCCAUAUGGCUACAAAGGCCAGAAGAAUAGAGGCAGUGUGCUUUGUGAUGGGAAGAGGCAAUGCUAUGCAUGGCGUAGCCAAAGCUGAAGAGAGAGAGACAGAACAACACACCUUCUGAAAAGAUCCAGGUUCUCUUACUUACAGAAGGCAAUCCUGCAAUACUGUUUUUCAAUUUCCAAAGUGGAUAUUCAGCUGCCCCUUGAAAAGGUCUGGUUUGCCAAAAGCACAGGCGUUUGUGCACCAAGUCUGCGAGCAAUGCCAAACGAGACUGCAAAUCGUAAACGGAAGAUGGGUAGAACUGGAGCUGAGCAGUGAUCGCAGAGUAAAAUGGUACACUUGAGUUUCCCGAAUAAAGAUCAAUGCGUUAUCCUUUUCUGGCUGACC